AACGCUGGCGGCGUGCCUAAUACAUGCAGUCGAGCGGACAGAUGGGAGCUUGCUCCCUGAUGUUAGCGGCGGACGGGUGAGUAACACGUGGGUAACCUGCCUGUAAGACUGGGAUAACUCCGGGAAACCGGGGCUAAUACCGGAUGGUUGUUUGAACCGCAUGGUUCAAACAUAAAAGGUGGCUUCGGCUACCACUUACAGAUGGACCCGCGGCGCAUUAGCUAGUUGGUGAGGUAAUGGCUCACCAAGGCAACGAUGCGUAGCCGACCUGAGAGGGUGAUCGGCCACACUGGGACUGAGACACGGCCCAGACUCCUACGGGAGGCAGCAGUAGGGAAUCUUCCGCAAUGGACGAAAGUCUGACGGAGCAACGCCGCGUGAGUGAUGAAAGUUUUCGGAUCGUAAAGCUCUGUUGUUAGGGAAAAACAAGUACCGUUCGAAUAGGGCGGUACCUUGACGGUACCUAACCAGAAAGCCACGGCUAACUACGUGCCAGCAGCCGCGGUAAUACGUAGGUGGCAAGCGUUGUCCGGAAUUAUUGGGCGUAAAGGGCUCGCAGGCGGUUUCUUAAGUCUGAUGUGAAAGCCCCCGGCUCAACCGGGGAGGGUCAUUGGAAACUGGGGAACUUGAGUGCAGAAAAGGAGAGUGGAAUUCCACGUGUAGCGGUGAAAUGCGUAGAGAUGUGGAGGAACACCAGUGGCGAAAGCGACUCUCUGGUCUGUAACUGACGCUGAGGAGCGAAAGCGUGGGGAGCGAACAGGAUUAGAUACCCUGGUAGUCCACGCCGUAAACGAUGAGUGCUAAGUGUUAGGGGGUUUCCGCCCCUUAGUGCUGCAGCUAACGCAUUAAGCACUCCGCCUGGGGAGUACGGUCGCAAGACUGAAACUCAAAGGAAUUGACGGGGGCCCGCACAAGCGGUGGAGCAUGUGGUUUAAUUCGAAACAACGCGAAAAACCUUACCAGGUCUUGACAUCCUCUGACAAUCCUAGAGAUAGGACGUCCCCUUCGGGGGCAGAGUGACAGGUGGUGCAUGGUUGUCGUCAGCUCGUGUCGUGAGAUGUUGGGUUAAGUCCCGCAACGAGCGCAACCCUUGAUCUUAGUUGCCAGCAUUCAGUUGGGCACUCUAAGGUGACUGCCGGUGACAAACCGGAGGAAAGUGGGGAUGACGUCAAAUCAUCAUGCCCCUUAUGACCUGGGCUACACACGUGCUACAAUGGACAGAACAAAGGGCAGCGAAACCGCGAGGUUAAGCCAAUCCCACAAAUCUGUUCUCAGUUCGGAUCGCAGUCUGCAACUCGACUGCGUGAAACUGGAAUCGCUAGUAAUCGCGGAUCAGCAUGCCGCGGUGAAUACGUUCCCGGGCCUUGUACACACCGCCCGUCACACCACGAGAGUUUGUAACACCCGAAAUCGGUGAGGUAACCUUU
rnacentral:rRNA from 1 species